GUAACUAAAAAAAAAGAAUAACACCAAUUUUAACGACGAUAACGCCGCUAGCUAAACUUUAAACCCUAAAUCUUAAAUUCUAAACCCUAAACCUUAAAUCGUAAACCCAAACCCAAAAUCCUAUACCCUAAACCCAAAUCCUAGACUCUAAACCCAAAUUGUAUACCCUAAACUCAAACUGUAUACCCUAAACCCAAACCAUAAAUCCUAAACCCAAACCAUAUACCCUAAACCUAAAUCCUAGACCUUGAAACCAAACCUUAUACCCUAAACCUAAAUCCUAGACCCUAAAUCCAAACCUUAUAGUGCCUUGGUUUAGGGUUUGGAUUUUGUGUUUACAGUUUGGGUUUUAAGUCUAAGAUUUGGGUUUAGGGUAUACGGUUUGGGUUUAGGGUCUAGGAUUUGGUUUAGGGUAUAGGAUUUUGAUUUAAGGUUUACGGUUUGGGUUUAGGGUCUAUGAUUUGGGUUUAGAGUAUAUGGUUUGGGUUUAGGGUCUAAGAUUCGGGUUUAUGAUAUAGGGUGUGGGUUUAAUAUUUACUGUUUAGGGUUGAGAAAUUAAGAUUUCGGAUUUACGGUUUAGCAGGCGGCGUCAGCGUUGUUAAAAUUAGCAUUAUUCUUUUUUUUAGUUAUUUUUAAAUAAAUUUAAUAUUUUUUAAUUAGUUAUCUACCUGACAGUUUGAUUAGUCCUGGAAUGAAAGGUGAAUUCUAGGGUGAACCUAAAUUUUGUUCUUAAUUUAAAUAUCAGUUUAGGAAAUAUGAUCCAGAAAUUUUCGUAGUCCUGGAUGUUAAUAGUGUUUUAUAAGGAAUACAACAAGACUACAAAUCUCUCAAGGUUUAGCCUUUUUGAGACUUUGUUAUGUUAGUCCAAUAGUUUGAUCAUUUGGA
rnacentral:lncRNA from 1 species